rnacentral:rRNA from 1 species
ACAUGCAGUCGAGCGAAUGAAGAGGAGCUUGCUCCUCUGAUUUAGCGGCGGACGGGUGAGUAACACGUGGGUAAUCUGCCUGUAAGACGGGGAUAACUCCGGGAAACCGGGGCUAAUACCGGAUAACAAGAGAAGAAGCAUUUCUUCUUUUUGAAAGUCGGUUUCGGCUGACACUUACAGAUGAGCCCGCGGCGCAUUAGCUAGUUGGUGAGGUAACGGCUCACCAAGGCGACGAUGCGUAGCCGACCUGAGAGGGUGAUCGGCCACACUGGGACUGAGACACGGCCCAGACUCCUACGGGAGGCAGCAGUAGGGAAUCUUCGGCAAUGGGCGAAAGCCUGACCGAGCAACGCCGCGUGAGCGAUGAAGGCCUUCGGGUCGUAAAGCUCUGUUGUUAGAGAAGAACAAGUACGAGAGUAACUGCUCGUACCUUGACGGUACCUAACCAGAAAGCCACGGCUAACUACGUGCCAGCAGCCGCGGUAAUACGUAGGUGGCAAGCGUUAUCCGGAAUUAUUGGGCGUAAAGCGCGCGCAGGCGGUCUCUUAAGUCUGAUGUGAAAGCCCACGGCUCAACCGUGGAGGGUCAUUGGAAACUGGGAGACUUGAGUGCAGGAGAGAAAAGUGGAAUUCCACGUGUAGCGGUGAAAUGCGUAGAGAUGUGGAGGAACACCAGUGGCGAAGGCGGCUUUUUGGCCUGUAACUGACGCUGAGGCGCGAA